rnacentral:rRNA from 1 species
GUGAGGAAUAUUGGACAAUGGGCGCAAGCCUGAUCCAGCCAUGCCGCGUGAGUGAUGAAGGCCUUAGGGUUGUAAAGCUCUUUCAGUGGGGACGAUAAUGACGGUACCCACAGAAGAAGCCCCGGCUAACUUCGUGCCAGCAGCCGCGGUAAUACGAAGGGGGCUAGCGUUGUUCGGAUUUACUGGGCGUAAAGCGCACGUAGGCGGCUCGUUAAGUCGGGGGUGAAAUCCUGGAGCUCAACUCCAGAACUGCCUUCGAUACUGGCGAUCUUGAUUCCGGAAGAGGUGAGUGGAACUCCUAGUGUAGAGGUGGAAUUCGUAGAUAUUAGGAAGAACACCAGUGGCGAAGGCGGCUCACUGGUCCGGUACUGACGCUGAGGUGCGAAAGCGUGGGGAGCAAACAGGAUUAGAAACCCGUGUAGUCC